GUUCGUGCAUUUUCUCAAAUCCUCCUCUUUCAAUUUCCCAUCCAUUCAUUACAGACAGAGCAAUAAUGAUUCUGUGGCUGAACUUGAUAUCCUUACUUGUAUACCUUGGAGGUGUCCAAUCUGAGGUUCAAUUGGUGGAGUCUGGAGGAGAUGUGAGAAGACCUGGGGAGUCCCUCCGUCUCUCCUGCCAAGCCUCUGGAUUCACCUUCAGCGACUACUACAUGCAGUGGGUCAGACAGGCCCCAGGGAAAGGACUGGAAUGGGUUUCAGAGAUAAAUCCAAGUUCUUAUACUUACUACUCUGACAAAGUGAAGGGCCGCUACACCAUCUCUAGGGACGAUGCCAAAAGCCAGCUGUAUCUGCAAAUGAACAGCCUCAAAGCUGAAGACACAGCGGUCUAUUACUGUGCGAGAGACACAGUGAGAGGAAGUGUUAAAUCUGAGACCCAGUUGGUGGAGUCUGGAGGGGAUGUGAGAAGACCUGGAGGAUCCCUCGGUCUCUCCUGCCAAGCCUCUGGAUUCACCUUCAGGGUUUAUUCAAUGGCUUGGGUGAGACAGGCUCCUGGGAAAGGACUGGAAUGGAUUGCAAGGAUAGGUACAUCCUCCUCUCCAAUUAGCUACUCAGACAAAGUCAAGGGAUGCUUCACCAUCUCCAGGGACGAUGCCAAAAGCCAGCUGUCUCUGCAAACGAACAGCCUCAAAGCUGAAGACACGGCAGUCUAUUACUGUGCAAGAGUACAGAACGAGAGGAAGUGA